ACUUGCAGCCAUAUCCCUCCGGGCUGUGUUAUUAACACUCACAAACUAAGUAAGAUAGGGCUAGGUCAGUACUUGGUUGGGAGACUUCAAAGGAAAACUCAGUAGAUGGAGGAA
rnacentral:rRNA from 1 species